ensembl:lncRNA
CGUACAGAGUGCAUAAAGGAAGUCAAUUGAGACGUGCUGCACAGGCGUGGCACCAACAAUGUCCUUGCCAAGAAUACGCCUCAAUUUCACAAAGGCAGGUCAGGAAAUGUGCAGCACGAUCCUGGAGACGCUCACAUGCAACAGAUGAAGGAAAAAAACUUUUUGUGAAUGACAGCAGCUGAUUGACAAAGAGUUGUCUCCUUGUUUGUCACUCAGGACCUUUUCACAGUGUGAGCUGUUUUCUUUGCCAGUGGCAGACCGACAAGUCGUAGCGAAGAGGAAACCUUUGAAAUGCAGGCAUGCAAGCUUGAUUGAGUCCUUGAAUGAUGUCACUGUUGCUGUAUCUUACCUAAAAUGUCUUCAAGCGUUUGAGGGGCAAUAUAUUCUGUGCAUUUGUGCCAAUACCGGUUCAUGUCGCAAUCCUUCAUCUCGACAUGGAUUACACAAUCUUAGAUUGAAAUGCAAAGCGAGUUUUCAGCGCUGCACAUUUGCAAAUGAUGAGAAUGAUGUGACGCAAAAUCCAAGUUGUGCUGUGUUGUGAAAGCCAAUCAGCGCUGAGAUUCUCCUCCUGUCCUCUGAACAUGGUUGAAUUCACUUGUGGUUGCAACAGUUGAUGAGCAAUCAAGACUGAGACACUGAGGAGACGUCCAAAAAAAUGUAAAUGAUGUAUAUGCAAGUGUCAACAAGAUAAUUUUUGCUUUAUUUAUUUGCCUGGCCUGUCUUUAAACUUGGUAAGCUUGUACACCAUCAGACGCUGAACAUGCAUGCGAGCCACUCAUCAAAACAAUCCCGUGAGUUUACCACCCGAUAAACACCACCAGUCGUCUCCAGUCGCUCCGGGGGCAACGAACAAGUCCUGUUUAUUUUGUAUCAGAUCGCAAAAAUGAAAUGUGACAGCCAGGUGUUGUAUCGCCGUAUCAAUUUCC